rnacentral:rRNA from 1 species
AUUGAACGCUGGCGGCAGGCCUAACACAUGCAAGUCGUACGCACUGGCCCAACUGAUUGAUGGUGCUUGCACCUGAUUGACGAUGGAUCACCAGUGAGUGGCGGACGGGUGAGUAACACGUAGGUAACCUGCCCCGGAGCGGGGGAUAACAUUUGGAAACAGAUGCUAAUACCGCAUAACAACAAAAGCCGCAUGGUUUUUGUUUGAAAGAUGGCUUUGGCUAUCACUCUGGGAUGGACCUGCGGUGCAUUAGCUAGUUGGUAAGGUAACGGCUUACCAAGGCGAUGAUGCAUAGCCGAGUUGAGAGACUGAUCGGCCACAAUGGAACUGAGACACGGUCCAU